rnacentral:rRNA from 1 species
UGCAGUCGAGCGAACAGAUAAGGAGCUUGCUCCUUUGACGUUAGCGGCGGACGGGUGAGUAACACGUGGGUAACCUACCUAUAAGACUGGGACAACUUCGGGAAACCGGAGCUAAUACCGGAUAAUAUGUUGAACCGCAUGGUUCAAUAGUGAAAGAUGGUUUUGCUAUCACUUAUAGAUGGACCCGCGCCGUAUUAGCUAGUUGGUGAGGUAACGGCUCACCAAGGCAACGAUACGUAGCCGACCUGAGAGGGUGAUCGGCCACACUGGAACUGAGACACGGUCCAGACUCCUACGGGAGGCAGCAGUAGGGAAUCUUCCGCAAUGGGCGAAAGCCUGACGGAGCAACGCCGCGUGAGUGAUGAAGGUCUUAGGAUCGUAAAACUCUGUUAUUAGGGAAGAACAAACGUGUAAGUAACUGUGCACGUCUUGACGGUACCUAAUCAGAAAGCCACGGCUAACUACGUGCCAGCAGCCGCGGUAAUACGUAGGUGGCAAGCGUUAUCCGGAAUUAUUGGGCGUAAAGCGCGCGUAGGCGGUUUUUUAAGUCUGAUGUGAAAGCCCACGGCUCAACCGUGGAGGGUCAUUGGAAACUGGAAAACUUGAGUGCAGAAGAGGAAAGUGGAAUUCCAUGUGUAGCGGUGAAAUGCGCAGAGAUAUGGAGGAACACCAGUGGCGAAGGCGACUUUCUGGUCUGUAACUGACGCUGAUGUGCGAAAGCGUGGGGAUCAAACAGGAUUAGAUACCCUGGUAGUCCACGCCGUAAACGAUGAGUGCUAAGUGUUAGGGGGUUUCCGCCCCUUAGUGCUGCAGCUAACGCAUUAAGCACUCCGCCUGGGGAGUACGACCGCAAGGUUGAAACUCAAAGGAAUUGACGGGGACCCGCACAAGCGGNGGAGCAUGUGGUUUAAUUCGAAGCAACGCG